GGGGGGACACCGCCACACAGUUCGGCGAGGUGCAGCGUAGAGACACGUAGGAGACGCGGCGCGUAAGGGCUUUUUAGACCAGAAUCGAACCGCGGGUGUCGGAUCGGCUUCUCACCGCCGCGCUUUUUCGGCACGCGAGAAACGGCGUAAGCACGCACGCACGCACGCCAAGCGGGCCGCGUAACGCACGGCAGAAACGGCGGCGGCGGCAUACCUGUCCGCGCACUGUCCGGUGACCGACCGUGGUGGCUCGGCUGUGUCCGUCCGUCAUAUUAUAUUCCCGGCCCGAGAGAGAGAGCAAGGUUGCUGGCAACGUACUACGGUGGUGUUGCGACGCAACGAGGCGGCGGGGACGUGAUCGACGGUGUGCGCGUUACGGAGCGAAGCAAGAACGAGCGAUUGGGACCGACUGCCGGCCAUGGAGAAGCGGAUAGAACUCGAGAAGCGGGGAAGGAAACCCGGCGACAUCAAAGAACUUGUUCUUGAUAACUGCCGGAGUACGCAAAUUGUGGGUCUGACAAAUGAAUUCAGCGCCCUAGAGUCAUUAAGUCUCAUCAAUGUGGGUCUUACCAGUCUAAAAGGCUUCCCAACAUUGUCCAGUCUUAAAAAGCUGGAGUUGAGCGAUAAUCGAAUUUCGAGUGGUUUAAAUCUGCUCGACUCAAGCCCUAAAUUAACUCAUCUGAAUCUAAGCGGGAACAAGAUCAAGGAUCUUGACACACUACAGCCGCUGAAAGAAUUCAAGAAUCUGAAGAGCUUGGAUCUCUUCAACAAUGAAGUGACAAAUAUGGAUAAUUAUAGGGAGAAAGUCUUCAAUCUUAUUCCCAGUCUGCGAUAUCUUGAUGGAUAUGAUGCUGACGAUUGUGAGGUCGAUGAAGUCGAGGAAAGCGAAGGGGAGGAUGACGAUGUUAAUGGAAAUGAGGACGGGGAUGGAGAGGGCAAUGAUGAUGAUAGCGAAGAAGUUUCAGAUGAAGAUGAGGAUGAUUUCUUAGAUGAUGAUCCAGGAUUAGAUGCUGUCUACAAGGAUAAGAUCGGAGAGAGCGACGAUGAGGAUUACAUGGGCGAGGAGGAAGAGGAGGAUGAUGAUGAAGAUAAUGAGGAUGAAGAGCAAGACGAAGAAGAAGAAGAGUCUCCCGUUCGAGGAAAAAGAAGAAAAAUUGAUGACGGAGGGCCAGAUGGAGGCGAGAAUCAGAUCGCUUAAGACGGAAUGCAGGUCUCUGAUACUGUUGAAUGAGUGUAAAAUUCAUAUAAAUAAUAACAAUAAUUGCGACGCCGAGUGAACAGCUGGGAAUCAAAUUAAAAUGACCGACCAAUGACAGACUACAGUUAGUGAUGUGAAUUUAUCAGUAAAUCAUUGACUGCAUGGAAAAUUGUCUAUGUAACAACAAAAGAUUUACCCUAAGGUAAAAGGCGGGGGUAUUGGGAGAUGCGAAGAGAAAAGGCGGCGAGGUAGGGGGGCGGGGGAGAAAACGGAUAAUGAUGGCAUAAAAAAAAAAUAGGGCUGCAUUCCAGCUGGACACAGCACAGUUUUAGUUAUACUAACGAUAUUUUAUAUAGAGUAUAUAAAUUAGAGUAUUAGUGGUGUUGUGUAGAAUGGACGCGGGAAGAUCGGCUAUUAAAUAAUGCGAGGUAAGAAAGCGUAAGGGGGGAAAGGGGGUGGGAAGGGGGGGGCGAGAGUGAGAGUGAGAAAGGGAGAGGAAGAUUGUGCGUAUAUGUGUGUUUGCGCGCGAAAGAGACAGAAAUAGAACAGGAGGUAGUGGAGUUUUACACGUGAAGGAGCAUCUUGUCUGUUAGCUCCAGUCGGCCAAAGGCUGGUCACGCUGGAAUGCGGUCAUCGUUAAUCAGUACUAAGGUUACAUAAGUUACAUUUUAAAUACAUUAUUAUUGUACCGUGAAUAAGUAUAGAGUAAAUGAGGAACAACUUUUGUACAGGUUUACACCAAACAUCGAGGUGCAUUAUAUGCCUCUGUGAUUUUUGGGACAGAAAAUAAAGAAAGAGAAAUAAUAAUACGUUACGCUCGUAUACGCGAGCGUCUGUAUCCGACAAGGAUGAGAUAGGAAUUGGGGGCGAGAGAGAGAGAGAGAGCGAGCACAGUAAAACAAAAAACGGGACUUUCGCUAUAAACGAUAGCGAAUACGCGCAUACUUUUUCGCGAUCAAGAUCUCCAUACUACGGUAAUCUUACGAUCCGGCAACGUAACAGCAAAAAACGAUCGGUUCAGCGGAUAGAAAAUAAUAUAAUAUUCACUGUUGUUUUCAAUCACGCGUGAUUCCGACGGCAGCGGGAAAAGUUGAACAGUUUAUAUCCAAAAUACAAAAUUCUCCAAUACACCUCGAUCGACGUGUCGACCGUUACGCGUGAACGCGGACAUGGUGUUAUCCUAACUUGGACUUUUUUCUAGUAAGCUUUAAGUUCCAGAUGUUCUAUGUACACAACGGCAAUUACGUAUGGCUGUUAGGAUUAUUGUUAUUUACCCUCGGGCAUUGCGUAAAUGUUGUGCUCUAAUAUAACAAAAGAAUCAAUUUGAUUAUUACUACAAUUUAUGAUGAUCUACUUUUGAUGCAGGUCUCAGUCUUUGGAACGAAUUACUACGGAAACAAAAGUCAACAUCGUGUGCGUCUAGCGAUCAACCUUUAAUUUCUGUCUCUGAAGUUACCAUUGCGCUGAUACAUUUCGUGAUGAAUAAUGAAGUGCGAAGAUGAUAAGUAAUGGAGAUUCAUCAAUAUUAUGAUUAAGGAUAAAUUUACGAGUAUGAUUUUAAGAAAUAAAAUAUUUACACUUGCGCUUUCGCACUUUUGAAUUGUACUAAAGUCAGAAACGCAAAAUUAGACUUAGAAUGAGAACAAAAGGAAAUGCGAAAAGAGAGAGAGAGAGAAAGAGAGAGAGAGAGAGACACUUAACGAAACAGGCGCAAGAUAAAAAGGACUCGCAGGAUGGAUCAGACGAUGUAGUUAAUGGUGAGACUGUGACGAGUAGAGACUGGACCGGGAUAACCAAUUAACUACGUAAUCGUGUGAGAAUGGAUGGAAGUGUGAUGGCGAAUGAGAGUUGGUAAGAGAAGAUUGAUUUUAUAAGAAAAAAGAAGAAUAAAAAAAAUAAUAAUUACGGUAGAGUCGAGGACCUGGCGCCUCCUUGUCGCCAGUUUGGUUAUGGCCUUAUCCAAUUUUUCCAAGACUAAAAAAGCAAAUUUAUAUUAGGUACAAUGAGUAUAUGAACGUGUACAGGUCCAAAUCUGUAAAUUUCUGAUCUACGGCAAUUUGUAAUUGCGGCUCGCGCGGAAGCGUAUUAAGAGUUAAAUUAUAAAUAAUUAAGAAUUUAAAUUAUAAAUAAUUAAAGACACAUUUCGCGCGCCCCGCGACAUACACACAUGUAAUACACUUUUGUCAAUUGCGAUUUUGGAUAGACCAUUUAAGUAAGGGGAAAAAAAAAAGAGAGAAAAGGAAAUUUGUCUAUCACCCUCUAUUAUCACAUAUAUUACAUCUGUGUAUUGUCUGUCUGUUCCGUUGUUAAAGUGGAUUUUUAUCAUAACGUUUGUUUAUUUCGAGCAAUCCUCAUCACACAAAAUAAGAAAAGAUAAUUUAUUAAUAAAACCAUUUACAAA
rnacentral:misc_RNA from 1 species